rnacentral:rRNA from 1 species
UGGGGAAUAUUGCACAAUGGGGGAAACCCUGAUGCAGCGACGCCGCGUGAGCGAAGAAGGUUUUCGAAUCGUAAAGCUCUGUCCUAUGGGAAGAUAUUGACGGUACCAUAGGAGGAAGCCCCGGCUAACUACGUGCCAGCAGCCGCGGUAAUACGUAGGGGGCAAGCGUUGUCCGGAAUCACUGGGCGUAAAGGGUUCGCAGGCGGAAAUGCAAGUCAGUUGUGAAAGGCAGAGGCUCAACCUCUGUAAGCAAUUGAAACUGUAUUUCUUGAGAUGUGGAGAGGCAAGUGGAAUUCCUAGUGUAGCGGUGAAAUGCGUAGAUAUUAGGAAGAAUACCGGUGGCGAAGGCGACUUGCUGGACACAAACUGACGCUGAGGAACGAAAGCGUGGGUAGCAAACAGG